AUUGAACGCUGGCGGCAGGCCUAACACAUGCAAGUCGAGCGGAUGAGUGGAGCUUGCUCCAUGAUUCAGCGGCGGACGGGUGAGGUAAUGCCUAGGAAUCUGCCCUGGUAGUGGGGGACAACGUUUCGAAAGGAACGCUAAUACCGCAUACGUCCUACGGGAGAAAGCAGGGGACCUUCGGGCCUUGCGCUAUCAGAUGAGCCUAGGUCGGAUUAGCUAGUAGGUGAGGUAAUGGCUCACCUAGGCGACGAUCCGUAACUGGUCUGAGAGGAUGAUCAGUCACACUGGAACUGAGACACGGUCCAGACUCCUACGGGAGGCAGCAGUGAGGAAUAUUGGGACCAAUGGGCGCAAGCCUGAUCCAGCCAUGCCGCGUGCAGGAAUAAGGUCCUAAUGGAUUGUAAACUAGCUUUAUACA
rnacentral:rRNA from 1 species